ACUACCUCCAUUACAUGACUCAUGUUGAACAGCAUGAAGAGGUACUGUACUGUAGGACUACUGAUGACUACCUCCAUUACAUGACUCCUGUUGAACAGCAUGAAGAGGUACUGUACUGUAGGACUACUGAUGACUACCUCCAUUACAUGACUCCUGUUGAACAGCAUGAAGAGGUACUGUACUGUAGGACUACUGAUGACUACCUCCAUUACAUGACUCCUGUUGAACAGCAUGAAGAGGUACUGUACUGUAGGACUACUGAUGACUACCUCCAUUACAUGACUCAUGUUGACCAGCAGGAAGAGGUACUGUACUGUAGGACUACUGAUGACUACCUCAUUACAUGACUCCUG